GCCGGAAUAGCUCAGUUGGUAGAGCAGAGGACUGAAAAUCCUCGUGUCACCAGUUUAAU
rnacentral:tRNA from 1 species